rnacentral:misc_RNA from 1 species
GAAAAUGAGCUCUCCCCUCUAAUAUGUAACGUGUGGAUCAAGAAUAUACGAACUUUCACUUCAUUAGAAACAGUAAAAUGUUUUCUUUGGUGGUUCCUUCGGGCUGUGAAUGUAGUGAUAGGUAAAGGAAAAAUUCAUUGCAUGUAUUAAUUAUAAUUGUUCAAUGUCCUGGUAUUUUCAUUUAAUCACAGUUUCUGGGAAUGAAACCAGCUUCCAGGAGGAGCAUAGACGUUGAUAGUUUGGUGAAGGCAACAAAGUUAUUGGUGAGUUCCAAACUAAAGUGAAACACAGCCUUAAAGGAAACGGCACCUUUACAAUUAACUUACUAAAAAAUAAUCCAAUUACAGAGAUCAUCAAUGAAUACUACAGCUGGAGAAACUAUUUCUGAGGACGACGAGAGUGUUGAGGUAUUUGUUUUACCAAUUUUACCCAUGCAAUAACAAGUAAGAAUUUGGAAAAAUCGUUUACGUGUUGUCGAUCAUAUUUAAGGUUAUCAUCCUUUCAAUUUCUUUAAAAAAUAAAGACGAUAAGGUUUAUAUUAAUUCUCUGUUUUAGGCUGCCAUUCUCCAUAAACCGGUGAUAUCCAAACCAUUCAAGACUAGUAGUGAAACAAUCUGGUCGUGUCCAAGAUCGCUGAAGCCCGUCAACGAACGGUAAACAGGCUCCUUAGUGUUAUGCUGCUGUUUAGCAACUGAACAUUAUAAGAAGCAUCUUCGAUAGCCAAGGGUUUACGAUCCAUCUCAUCCUUGCUAGCAAAAAGUUUACGAUCCAUUCCGCUCAUCUCCGUUAGCCAAGGGUUUACGAUCCACUCCGCUCAUCUUUGCUAGCAAAGAGUUUACGAUCCAUUCCGCUCAUCUUCGUUAGCCAAGGGUUUAAUAUACGAUCCACUCCGCUCACCUUUGCUAGCCAAGGGUACUAGUAUACGAUCUUCUCUGCUUCUCUACAAGGAGCUGAGUGGAUCGUAAACCCUUGGCUAGCGAAGAUGAAUAUAAGGAAAUAUAUACUAGAAUCCAAAUAGGAUAUAUCUUUAAUAUAUGUAGAUUUUUAUCCUAGAUAGAGAACUAGAGUAAUUCUUAACAACAAUCAUAUAUUUGACAGAUGCAAGGAUUUUGCGUUUGAGAAAACAAAAGCCAAUCCUAGUGAUAAGCAGCACUCGGCUGCUACCAAUCUACAGGCUGUGUAUCUAAAGAAGCUUCUGGAGGAAAAGGAGAAAGAAAUCAAGUCACUGCAGAACCAGCUUCAUAAGGCAAACAACGAGAACGUAAAGCUCAUCCAGGAGUUAGAGGGGUACAGAGGGAAAAACUACGAUGAAAUGUAUAAAGAGAACAUGACAAACAAAGAUUAUCUGAACCGCGUAUGUCGGGAAAACAUCCUGUUGCGCGGGCAAAUACGGAAGCAAGGAAAUCGUGUGCUACAAAGACUAGGGGAAAAGGAUGUAGAGGAAAAGCAGAAUUUAGAGAAAACUGAACGACUGAGAAUGACUAAGUCCGCCAAACCGAGGCUGUGUUGAAAUCGUGUUUCUUGACGCGGGACUUUCUUUAUAAGAAAGGCAUGCAUUUAUUCAGUAAUAAAUUCUAUGUAAAUGU